GACGUAGGGCGCGAGCGUUGUCCGGAUUUAUUGGGCGUAAAGAGCUCGUAGGCGGCUUGUCGCGUCGACUGUGAAAUCCCGCGGCUCAACUGCGGGUCUGCAGUCGAUACGGGCAGGCUAGAGUUCGGUAGGGGAGACUGGAAUUCCUGGUGUAGCGGUGAAAUGCGCAGAUAUCAGGAGGAACACCGAUGGCGAAGGCAGGUCUCUGGGCCGUUACUGACGCUGAGGAGCGAAAGCGUGGGGAGCGAACAGG
rnacentral:rRNA from 1 species